rnacentral:rRNA from 1 species
CCCGGGGGGAUUGCCUUAGUACGGCGAGUGAAGCGGCAAAAGCUCAAAUUUGAAAUCUGGUACCUUCGGUGCCCGAGUUGUAAUUUGGAGAGGGCAACUUUGGGGCCGUUCCUUGUCUAUGUUCCUUGGAACAGGACGUCAUAGAGGGUGAGAAUCCCGUGUGGCGAGGAGUGCGGUUCUUUGUAAAGUGCCUUCGAAGAGUCGAGUUGUUUGGGAAUGCAGCUCUAAGUGGGUGGUAAAUUCCAUCUAAAGCUAAAUAUUGGCGAGAGACCGAUAGCGAACAAGUACAGUGAUGGAAAGAUGAAAAGAACUUUGAAAAGAGAGUGAAAAAGUACGUGAAAUUGUUGAAAGGGAAGGGCAUUUGAUCAGACAUGGUGUUUUGUGCCCUCUGCUCCUUGUGGGUAGGGGAAUCUCGCAUUUCACUGGGCCAGCAUCAGUUUUGGUGGCAGGAUAAAUCCAUAGGAAUGUAGCUUGCCUCGGUAAGUAUUAUAGCCUGUGGGAAUACUGCCAGCUGGGACUGAGGACUGCGACGUAAGUCAAGGAUGCUGGCAUAAUGGUUAUAUGCCGCCCGUCUUGAAACCGGAAACCA